GCCAGGUGCACUGGUGCAUGCCUGUAAUCCCAGAGGCUCUGGAGGCUGAGGCAGGAGGAUCGCAAGUUCAAAGCCAAUCUCAGCAACUUAGUGAGACUCUGUCUCAA
rnacentral:sRNA from 1 species